rnacentral:rRNA from 1 species
UACGUAGGGUGCAAGCGUUGUCCGGAAUUAUUGGGCGUAAAGGGCGCGUAGGCGGCUAGAUGUGUCAAAGGUGAAAUCCCUCGGCUCAACUGAGGAACUGCCUUUGAAACUGUCUGGCUUGAGGCCGGGAGAGGGUAGCGGAAUUCCCAGUGUAGCGGUGAAAUGCGUAGAUAUUGGGAGGAACACCAGUGGCGAAGGCGGCUACCUGGACCGGUUCUGACGCUGAGGCGCGAAAGCGUGGGUAGCAAACAGG